rnacentral:lncRNA from 1 species
UAUAGAAAUAUUUAUAUGAUAUUUUAUUUAUAAAUUUGUAAUUAUUUAUUAAUAUUUUUAAAUAUAUAAAUCUUAUAUAUUAUUAAUAUAUGUUUAUUAUUAAUAUAUGAAUAUAUUUAAUUUAUAUAUAAAAAUUAUAAUAAUAAUAUAUAUAGUAUAUUAAUUAUUAUAUAUUUAAUAUAUAGCCGUAUUUUUUAUUCCGAAUUUUUAAUUGGUUACCGAAUCCGUUUUUUAGCCGUAUUUUUUAACGAAUUAAAAAUUAAAAGACGAAUUUUAUUCGAAUUAUAUCCGUACCGAAUUUUUGCCGAAUCCGAAUUAACUAACUAUGGAAUGUAG